UGCGGAGUCAUGCAAAGUUACAGUCAGGUCCCAUCCGCCUAGGGAAUGAUCCGUCUCCGCUGAAUGAAAAAGCGGUAUAUAUCCGUUUAUCGGAAAUGCAUUGAGCGGCUAUCGCCAGGCCAGCGCUGCUCACCACCGGCUAAUAGUAGUGACCCGUCCCUUGACGGACUAGCAGGGGGAGGAGGGACGCAAUAAAUAAAUUAGCAAGCUUAUUUCAUAUCGGUAAAAUUAAAAAGUUGCUGACACGAAGAUUGGGGAAUGGGAGCCCUCAGAGAAGGUGAGUUUUGAGGACAGACUGGAGACAGUAAUCUGACAAGGGGGCAGGAAGUUCUGCAGCAGAACAGACUUUGCAUAAUGUUUGAAGAUUCGUGGGAGUGUUGUAACCUUAACAUUCAGCACACAUCACAAAGAAGCAUAAGAAAAAUGAGUGUCGGGGGGGAAAUCAAUUUCUCAGGCCGCUUGCUACAGUCUUUUAUUAUUGAUUUACAGUUUUAAUGUUCGAUCACUAACGUACACCUAGAACUUGAAAGCCAUUUAAACUGAAUCUAAUUACUCAAAUCCUAGGUAUGAAAUUAAGAUGAGUUCAGAAGAAAACUUGAGAAAGCAGCAGUGGAAUAAAUUGUUGCAAAUUUAUUACACAUUUUGUAAUAAUGGAUGGGAUAUUCGAAUGAAUGACAGUACUGUCUCCGGGCACAAGGAAUCCACAGUACAUCCCCUCGAAAAGCAUUUUCCCCCUCAUUCUUUGCCUCAGCAAAGAGGUUUUUCUAUUUAAAUUUAUCACUAUAAAGAAAGAAAACGUGGGAAAUGCAGACAAAAGAUACAUCACAGAGUCUAAAAAAGGUUAUUUAAAAAUUAACUUCAGAGAGUUCUUCCUUCAAAAUGCUUGGGCCACUCUAAAUGUCUAAACUCACUCUCCCAAAAUUAAGAACCGGACAGAGUUGAGCAACAAGUACUAAGAAGCUAUAGGAACUGUUUUAUGAGGCAGGAUCAAGAGACUUGUUUGUGUAUAUAAUAAUUAAGUCAAAAUUAAAGAGCUAAACAUAAGAGCAAAUAUAGCUUUUAAAUGCUGUAGAUAGAAAACUAUUAGUAGGCCAUAGAGAAAUGUAACAGAAUAAAAUAAAAGGAAACGACCUAAGUGUCAGAAAAAGCUUUCCAACAUUCUUACCUUUUCGUUAUCAUAUCUCGAAGAAGAUGGUAAAAUAAUCUCAUUGAUUAUUACUCAUUAUGUGGUAGACCUAAAACAAAACAAACACUAGAAAAUUUGGAGCAAAAAAUGAAAUUCAGUAUUUCUGCGUCCUCAUUCUUUUCUCUCAAGUUAAAGUAGAUGAAGCAUUUGGUAAUAUAAUAGCCAAUGAUCAUUUAAGUGUAUUAGGUACAAUUAGCGUCUAGUACUUUAUUUGUGAAUAGUCUCAACUUCCAGAAUAAAUUUUAUUAAACUCAGCCAAUAGGAUGGAAUGCCUGGGUGGCUCGGUUGGUUAAGCACCUGCCUUCGGCUCAGGUAAUGAUCCCAGGGUCCUGGGAUGGAGUCCCUGCUCAGUGCGGGGGGGGGGGGGGGGGGGGGGGGAGCUGCUUCUCCCUCUGCCUGCCACUCCCCCUGCUUGUGUGCUCUCUCUCUCUCUGACAAAUAAAUAAAAUCUUUUUAAAAAUAAAUUUAAAAAAAUUCAGCCAAUAGGUAUUAAGUACCAGCUAAUAGCCAUAAUGCUGGUAAAAAUGCAGGUUGCUUGUUUUCAAGGAGUUGAUGUUUCGCUGGUGAAGAUGGAUGAGUACACAACGAGGAGCAAGAUAGGAUCUAUUCUGAACCAGGAGAAAAGCAUAAUUACUUGUUGUUGAUUAAUGCUCACUUCAUAGAAAACAAGCAACCUGAUUAUGCUAGAAGCCACUUUAGGAAGUGUUAAAAGGAAGUGAUCAGGCUGGUGAAGGUUUUUUCCCUAAUCAAACUACUUUUAUACUAUAUAUAACUGGAUAAUUUCUCUAAUAUAAUGUUUGGAGGUUUUGAAUAAAGCUAAUAAGAUUCUCAAAAAAAAAAAAACAGUUCUUAGUGGCACAAAAGAAGUACUACAUUAUACAUAUUUGCAACAUAAUAUAGCUUUAAAUCAAGUAUCAUGUUUUAUAGUUUACAAAAUGCUUUCACAUUCAUCAUUUUGUUUACAAGAAUGCUGGAAUGAAGGUAUUUACACUGAAACUAACAGUUUCAGAGAGUUAGACUACAGUUCACAAUUACACAUUCCUUCAACAAACCAUUAUUGAGUACCUACCAUGUGCCAGAUACGAGAAGUAAGCGCCUGAUAGGUAGGUACAAGGCAGUGAACAGGACAGACUUGGUUCCUGCCUUCUUGGACUUGGCAGCCUAGAGAGAAGAAAGACUUCGAACACUUGCCAGAAGCUUCUUGAAGAUGGAGACACCACUCCGGUCCAGGCCCCCAUCGUCUUUCUAGGUCCAUCUCUCACCACACAAUUCAGUGCCUUAAACAGCCCUUUCUCCCACCUCCAACCCAAUGAGUGCCAUCACUUCCCUUGGGACAUUUACCACCACCACCCAUUCCUUGUUCUAACAACAAUCUAUUUCUCCACAUUAAUUGUCACUUCCUCCAGGAUUCUUCCCUAGCCCCCAGAUUAGUUUAGAUGCCAAGGCAUGGAGCACCAAUAUCAUCCCGUCUUAGCACUGAUCAUACGUCAAUGUAAUUACUUGUAGACUAUAAGCUCAGAGAGUGGAAGCUUUUGUGUUAUUCACACUAUAUCCCCAAUGCCUGGCAGAUGAGAUACUCUCAAAAAAUGCUGGAGAGAUGAAUGAGUGAAUCUCCAUAUAAAGAUUUAUAUAAAACAGUUUCUACUAUACCUUUGGGGAAGUAACAAAUGUGAAAGUUCAAUGUGUGUCUUCUUUCAUUUAUAGAGCAUCUACCUAUCUACAUGGGGCUCUCAAUCUACUUAAGCCCCAGCAUGCAAAUACUAAAGAAGAAAUAAUACUCUUCAUUCAAAGCUCCUAAUUGCACUGAUUUUGAAUGUCCAGCUGUAUCGAAGUUCAUUUGUGACUUUCUGAGGAUCCAUUGGAAAAACAUCAGACAAAUCCUAAUUGAAGGAUGGUUUAUAAAAGUCCUGGCCAGAACUCUUCAAAACUGUCAAGGUCAUCAAAAACAAGGAAAGUCUGAGAAACCGUCACAGCCAAGAGGAGCCUAAGGAAACAUUUUGACUAAAUAUAAUGUUAUCCUAAAUAGGAUCCUGGAACAGAACAAGGACAUUAGGAAAAAACAUGGACUUUAGUUACUAGUGUAUCAGUAUUGGUUCAUUAGUUGUGACAAAUGUACCAUAUUGAUGUAAGAUGUUACUAAAAGAAGAAACUGAUUGGGGGUAUGUGGUAACUCUCUGUUCUAUCUUUGCAACUUUUCUGUAAAUCUAAAACUAUUCUAAAAUAAAAUAUUUUUCCCAGA